rnacentral:rRNA from 1 species
UACGUAGGGUGCUAGCGUUGUUCGGAUUUACUGGGCGUAAAGGGCGCGUAGGCGGCCACCGCAAGUCGACUGUGAAAUCUCCGGGCUUAACCCGGAAAGGUCAGCCGAUACUGCGGGGCUAGAGUGCAGAAGGGGCAACUGGAAUUCUCGGUGUAGCGGUGAAAUGCGUAGAUAUCGAGAGGAACACCUGCGGCGAAGGCGGGUUGCUGGGCUGACACUGACGCUGAUGUGCGAAAGCUAGGGGAGCGAACGGG